AGCCAAACAAAUAUUAAAGGCGACGCCUGCCCAGUGAACAAUUAAACGGCCGCGGUACCCUAACCGUGCAAAGGUAGCAUAAUCAUUUGUCUACUAAUUAUAGACCUGUAUGAAAGGCAAAAUGAGGGUCUAGCUGUCUCUUAUAGUUAAUCAAUUAAACUGAUCUCCCAGUUAAAAAGCUGGAAUACAAACAUAAGACCAGAAGACCCUGUGAAGCUUAAACUAAACCAUUAAAUCUAAUAGUGAUAACUUUCGGUUGGGGCGACCUUGGAAAAAAAAAGAACUUCCAAUAUAGUGACAUAACCCACUAACCCUAGGCCCACAAGCCAACAACGACCCAGCAUAGCUGACAAUAGAACCAAGUUACUCCAGGGAUAACAGCGCAAUCUUCUUCAAGAGCCCAUAUCAAAAAGAAGGUUUACGACCUCGAUGUUGGAUCAGGACACCCCGAUGGUGCAGCCGCUAUCAAAGGUUCGUUUGUUCAACGAUUAAUAGUCCU
rnacentral:rRNA from 1 species